CAAAAUCUUAGAAUUAAAUAUUUGGUUUUUAGACGUUAACAAUUUCAGACAUCUAUCGCGAUCUGUUAAAUUUAAUUAUCUGCAAAGUAUGGUGAUGGUGGCAUAAAGAGUUGCUACCCUCUGUGCCAAAGAUUCAGAUUCAAAUCCGUAUACAUAUGUUAGAUUUUAUUUGAGCGUUACCUCUCGGAAAGCAAUGGCAAAAAUAUCUUUACUACAACCUAUUGACAACCUCAUCAAUGGAUAUGCAGAAGAGGGCAUUACAUCUUUGAAGAAAAACGGACUUGAGAAACGGACUUAUUUUCAAUUAUACAAACCGGCCCCUGCAAUCUGACUCGCAUCAAUCCGUUAGCAAGAGCUUGAAGAAAGAUAACGUGCACAUCGGUUGCUUGCAGCAUCCUCGAUUGUUCCAGUCCGGUAUAAGUGGAAGAAGAGCGAACAAACCAAUCGGGAACUGGAUAUGAUCCUCCAGACUUUCCAACCACACGAC